rnacentral:lncRNA from 1 species
UCCUAAGAGUGUGAAGAAUUGGAGAAAAAAUUAUUCUCCUUCUUAUUCAAAUCUGCUGCACAGUUUUUGAAUUUAUACACUUAGGGAGACUAACUAAAAUAGAAAACUAUCACAACUUAAAUCCCCACAAUUAAGGGAUUGAUCACCACAAUCAAGGGAUUGUCAUAACUACAAAAAUUUCCUAAAUAAAGCAUAACAAUUUACACCAUAAAUACAAUGAUUCCCGGAUUUCCUAUUAUUACACACACACAGUUUCCUUAUUAAAAAGAAAUCGUGUUUUCCCACAAAGAGAACAAUAUGUAAGGGAUCCUUUGUAUCGACGACUCUACUGCUAACAAAUUUAGGAUUUCCUUUGUAUCGACUCGCCUGCAGCAAAGGAGCCGACUCUAGAAUGAUAGAAGUCAACCUCUGGAAGACCACGGUCCCAACAGAAGCCUAUAAUUUUGUAGGAUCUCAAGCGUCAACCCCAAGUAUAGAGGAGUCGACCUCGACACUCCAGAAGUCGGACCUGGCACACAGGAGCUGACCGGCACAAGUUUAAGAGUCGAUCUUAGUUAGUCACAAGUCAACACCAGAAAGCCAUGAGGUAAAAAUCGAAGAUGCUGAAAUUUUAGCAUUUUAGGAGUUGACCCUUACAAGUUAGGAGUCAACCCCAAGAAGCUAAAAGUCGACCUUUGGAAGGCCACAGGGUGAAAAUAGAAGACUUCAGUCUAUUAGGAGUCGAUCUCAGGUAACAAGAAGUCGACCCCUCUAUGCAUGACAUCUCUAAUGGCUAAUUUUCAGCGAGCACAAUCUGCAUUAAAUGCCAUAUAACAACUAAUUUCACCUCUCUAAUGGCCAAAGGAGCUUUUGCAGCCAUUCUUGAUGGUAUAAAUACUUCCAAAAUCAAGAGAGAAACGAGAGAAAAGAGGAGAACAAGUGCCCAACAUUGAUUAACCUUCAACCUUCUUGUGCAUUAAGUGGAGAUUCCAUCCAGAAGUGCGCAAUCAAGAGCUUCCCUCCAAUACUCAAACACAUCAAAAAGGGUGCAAAUCAGCUCAAAUUAGGAGCAAUCAUUUGUAGAAUUUUUUUAUUCCUUUUAAUUGUAUUUGGGAUUGUGAAGUUUCAAGGGGAGCUAAAACUUGGGGAUAGGUUGAUCGUACCCUAAAACAAAGAGUAAAGGUUUAUCCGUGCCCGGAAAAUAGAGUGACUAGCUUAGGUUAAGCGAGAAACUUCGGUCGGUAGUAUCCGAUGUUUGUAUUCAUGGUAAUAUGAAUAGUGGAUUGGAAAUGUUCAAGGCGGGAGCCUUGGAAAGUGGGUAUAGGUGCUGGGUUUGGCACUGGACCACUAUAAAUCUUUAUGUUUGUGAUGCUAUUAAUUUUGUUGCUUGUUGCAUUCAUACAUUAGUUGAUUAGUUAUAUAUAUUUGGUAUUGCACAACUUAUAUAAUCUGAAAAAAUUGUUUUCCACUGCAUAUACUUGUAAAAGUUUUUGAAAAACUCAAGUCACCCUCCCCUCUUGGGUUGCUUAUCUGGGCAAUAAAUAUCCAUUUAAAUAAUAUCAUAAACGAACUCUAUAAUUAAGGUUCGCCGUCUCGGUACCAGAUCCUGUACCUGUACCUGUACCUGUACCAUCCUAUUACAGUAUCGGUAUGUGGUGCAGUAUAAGAUGGCGAGAGGUACCGAGUGUCGAUACGGUACUGUACGAGACUACAUACUAGUUCGGUAUUAGUAUGGUACAAUACACCAGACACAGGACGAUACUAACC